rnacentral:rRNA from 1 species
GGGGGGGGCAAGCGUUGUUCGGAAUUACUGGGCGUAAAGGGCUCGUAGGUGGCCAACUAAGUCAUACGUGAAAUCCCUCAGCUUAACUGGGGAACUGCGCCUGAUACUGGUUGGCUUGAGUUUGGGAGAGGGACGCGGAAUUCCAGGUGUAGCGGUGAAAUGCGUAGAUAUCUGGAGGAACACCGGUGGCGAAGGCGGCGUCCUGGACCAAUACUGACACUGAGGAGCGAAAGCCAGGGGAGCAAACGGGAUUAGAUACCCCGGUAGUCCUGGCCCUAAACGAUGAAUGCUUGGUGUGGCGGGUAUCGAUCCCUGCCGUGCCGAAGCUAACGCAUUAAGCAUUCCGCCUGGGGAGUACGGUCGCAAGG